rnacentral:rRNA from 1 species
AUUGAACGCUGGCGGCAGGCCUAACACAUGCAAGUCGAGCGGAUGAAGGGAGCUUGCUCCUGGAUUCAGCGGCGGACGGGUGAGUAAUGCCUAGGAAUCUGCCUGGUAGUGGGGAUAACGUCCGGAAACGGGCGCUAAUACCGCAUACGUCCUGAGGGAGGAAGUGGGGGAUCUUCGGACCUCCAGCUAUCAGAUGAGCCUAGGUCGGAUUAGCUAGUUGGUGGGGUAAAGGCCUACCAAGGCGACGAUCCGUAACUGGUCUGAGAGGAUGAUCAGUCACACUGGAACUGAGACACGGUCCAGACUCCUACGGGAGGCAGCAGUGGGGAAUAUUGGACAAUGGGCGAAAGCCUGAUCCAGCCAUGCCGCGUGUGUGAAGAAGGUCUUCGGAUUGUAAAGCACUUUAAGUUGGGAGGAAGGGCAGUAAGUUAAUACCUUGCUGUUUUGACGUUACCAACAGAAUAAGCACCGGCUAACUUCGUG